rnacentral:lncRNA from 1 species
GAUGAAAAUGUUGAUGGUGAAGUAGGAGUGUGGAGUGAUGAGGAAGUAGUUGAAAAUAAUAAAAAUAAUGGUGAAGUUGAAAAAGAAAAAGGUGUGGGGAUUGAGGAGAAUAAAAGUGAUGAGGUAAUAAGGGAGGUAGUGAAAAAGCCUAGAUGGAAAAGUGCUAGAAUUGCAAAGGGAAAGGAGGUAGUGAGCGCUACUCCGAUCCAAAAUCUUCCUUAUCCUCAUGCUCCUUCAAAGAGGGAAAAUG